UUAGGCUAGUCUUGUGUCAACCUCUGGAGCCUUUGUACUUGCCUGUUUGGUGAACCACAGGCUCUGGACCUUGCCUCGCGAUGUUGGAUCUUAGCUCGGACAUCACCGUGACUGGUUCUGCUGGCCCGUGCCGGCUCACCCUGUGUUCUGCUGUCUUUCUACCUAAGCCAUGUGAAGGGGAGACAGAAAAAAAAGAAAAAGAGAGAGAGACGAACACUUCCAACAGAUUCUUCACACCAUGCUCCACCCAGUCUCAUCCAGCCCUGGUCGUGGGCAUGUAUGCACACACCCAGCAGGGGGAGUGCUCAGGAUGUGAACCUGGGUCCUUGUGAUAUGGCCUCAGCAUCGUGGAGCCUUUCAUUGCCUCCGUACUACCACAGCUGACUGGGAAUCCUGAUGGCAUGGCAAGAUUUGAGAAAGACAAGCACAGGAGGUUGGGAGAUGGAUAACCUUGGUUGACGAGGGGUUAUCUCCGUAUGAUUUUGUUUGUUUUGUUUUGGGCUUUCCUAUUUGCUAUGGCAAUUACCAGCAAAACAAAUCUCCAAAAAGCACGUCUACAAAACAAAAAACAAUUUAGAGACAAAGGGUUAUCUAUUUCAUUUUCUAUACAAUGGGGAUUUGUGUGUAGGUAUGUAAAAAAAAAUCA